rnacentral:rRNA from 1 species
CUACCAGACUCCUACGGGAGGCAGCAGUGGGGAAUAUUGCACAAUGGGCGCAAGCCUGAUGCAGCCAUGCCGCGUGUAUGAAGAAGGCCUUCGGGUUGUAAGUUACUUUCAGCGGGGAGGAAGGCGAUAAGGUUAAUAACCUUGUCGAUUGACGUUACCCGCAGAAGAAGCACCGGCUAACUCCGUGCCAGCAGCCGCGGAAAUACGGAGGGUGAAAGCGUUAAUCGGAAUUACUGGGCGUAAAGCGCACGCAGGCGGUCUGUCAAGUCGGAUGUGAAAUCCCCGGGCUCAACCUGGGAACUGCAUUCGAAACUGGCAGGCUGGAGUCUUGUAGAGGGGGGUAGAAUUCCAGGUGUAGCGGUGAAAUGCGUAGAGAUCGGGAGGAAUACCGGUGGCGAAGGCGGCCCCCUGGACAAAGACUGACGCUCAGGUGCGAAAGCGUGGGGAGCCAACAGGAUUAGAUCCCCGCGUA